rfam:Photobacterium gaetbulicola Gung47 chromosome 2, complete sequence.
CAUACAGCCCAACUGUUUUUCUUUAGCUUCUUUUUUAUGUCACCUUAGUGGGGGCUAUUCGUUACGCAAGAAACAAGCUAAAGACGAACAGACAGCCUCCUCUAACCGGGAGGCUUUUUUGU